AGGAAUGGAGUUCUCUUUCUGCUCGGGAUUUUUGCUGUGACUGUCUCCCAGAUUUCUGCUUUUCCCACACCUGCCGAGGAUGAUAAAGCUGUAGUUUACAACAGACGACUGACUGAGGAGAGACCAAUCCAGGAGCAGAUUGCAGAGGCAGAUGAUGUGAA